rnacentral:rRNA from 1 species
AUUGAACGCUGGCGACAGGCCUAACACAUGCCAGUCGAGCGGAUGAAGGGAGAUUGCUCCUCGCUUCAGCGGCCGACGGGUGGGUAAUGCCUAGGAAUCUGCCUGGUAGUGGGGGAUAGCGUACGGUAGCGGGGCCUAAUACCGCAUCCGUCCUUAUGGAGAAAGUGGUGGUUCUUCGGACCUCGCGCUAUCUGCUGAGCCUGGGUCGGAUUAGCUAGUUGGUGAGGUAAAGGCUUACCAAGGCGACGAUCCGUAGCUGAUCUGAGAGGAUGAUCAGUCACACUGGAACUGAGACACGGUCCAGACUCCUACGGGAGGCAGCAGUGGGGAAUAUUGGACAAUGGGCGAAAGCCUGACCGAGCAAUGCCGCGUGUGUGAUGAAGGUCUUCGGAUCGUAAAGCACUUUUAGUAGGGAAGAAGAGCAGUGAGUGAAUCUAUGGAUGUCUUGACGUUACCAAAAGAGUAAGCACCGGCUAACUACGUG